CGAGCGGUGAAGAUCUUCGGAUCUUUGAGAGCGGCGUACGGGUGCGGAACACGUGUGCAACCUGCCUUUAUCAGGGGGAUAGCCUUUCGAAAGGAAGAUUAAUACCCCAUAAUAUAAUGAGUGGCAUCACUUAUUAUUGAAAACUCCGGUGGAUAGAGAUGGGCACGCGCAAGAUUAGAUAGUUGGUAGGGUAACGGCCUACCAAGUCAGUGAUCUUUAGGGGGCCUGAGAGGGUGAUCCCCCACACUGGUACUGAGACACGGACCAGACUCCUACGGGAGGCAGCAGUGAGGAAUAUUGGACAAUGGGUGAGAGCCUGAUCCAGCCAUCCCGCGUGAAGGACGACGGCCCUAUGGGUUGUAAACUUCUUUUGUAUAGGGAUAAACCUUUCCACGUGUGGAAAGCUGAAGGUACUAUACGAAUAAGCACCGGCUAACUCCGUGCCAGCAGCCGCGGUAAUACGGAGGGUGCAAGCGUUAUCCGGAUUUAUUGGGUUUAAAGGGUCCGUAGGCGGAUCUGUAAGUCAGUGGUGAAAUCUCAUAGCUUAACUAUGAAACUGCCAUUGAUACUGCAGGUCUUGAGUAAAGUAGAAGUGGCUGGAAUAAGUAGUGUAGCGGUGAAAUGCAUAGAUAUUACUUAGAACACCAAUUGCGAAGGCAGGUCACUAUGUUUUAACUGACGCUGAUGGACGAAAGCGUGGGGAGCGAACAGGAUUAGAUACCCUGGUAGUCCACGCCGUAAACGAUGCUAACUCGUUUUUGGGUUUUCGGAUUCAGAGACUAAGCGAAAGUGAUAAGUUAGCCACCUGGGGAGUACGUUCGCAAGAAUGAAACUCAAAGGAAUUGACGGGGGCCCGCACAAGCGGUGGAUUAUGUGGUUUAAUUCGAUGAUACGCGAGGAACCUUACCAAGGCUUAAAUGGGAAUUGACAGGUUUAGAAAUAGACUUUUCUUCGGACAAUUUUCAAGGUGCUGCAUGGUUGUCGUCAGCUCGUGCCGUGAGGUGUUAGGUUAAGUCCUGCAACGAGCGCAACCCCUGUCACUAGUUGCCAUCAUUCAGUUGGGGACUCUAGUGAGACUGCCUACGCAAGUAGAGAGGAAGGUGGGGAUGACGUCAAAUCAUCACGGCCCUUACGCCUUGGGCCACACACGUAAUACAAUGGCCGGUACAGAGGGCAGCUACCUAGCGAUAGGAUGCGAAUCUCGAAAGCCGGUCUCAGUUCGGAUUGGAGUCUGCAACUCGACUCUAUGAAGCUGGAAUCGCUAGUAAUCGCGCAUCAGCCAUGGCGCGGUGAAUACGUUCCCGGGCCUUGUACACACCGCCCGUCAAGCCAUGGAAGUUUGGGGUACCUGAUAGUCGGUGACC
rnacentral:rRNA from 1 species